rnacentral:rRNA from 1 species
UGAAACCGUGUACGUACAAGCAGUGGGAGCACAGGUUUACCUGUGUGACUGCGUACCUUUUGUAUAAUGGGUCAGCGACUUAUAUUCUGUAGCAAGGUUAACCGUAUAGGGGAGCCGUAGGGAAACCGAGUCUUAACCGGGCGUUAAGUUGCAGGGUAUAGACCCGAAACCCGGUGAUCUAGCCAUGGGCAGGUUGAAGGUUGGGUAACACUAACUGGA